rnacentral:tRNA from 1 species
GCCGGAGUGGUGGAAUGGCAGACACGUUGGACUCAAAAUCCAAUGCCCUCACAGGCGUGCGGGUUCAAGUCCCGCCUCCGGUACCA